GUGAGGAAUAUUGCGCAAUGGAGGCAACUCUGACGCAGCCAUGCCGCGUGCAGGAAGAAGGCGCUACGCGUUGUAAACUGCUUUUAACCGGGAAGAAACCCCAGGACGUGUCCUGGGUUGACGGUACCGGAGGAAUAAGCACCGGCUAACUUCGUGCCAGCAGCCGCGGUAAUACGAAGGGUGCAAGCGUUAUCCGGAUUCAUUGGGUUUAAAGGGUGCGUAGGCGGAGCGUUAAGUCAGUGGUGAAAUCCUGCAGCUUAACUGUAGACUUGCCAUUGAUACUGGCGCUCUUGAGUGCGCUGGAAGUGGGCGGAAUGUGCCGUGUAGCGGUGAAAUGCUUAGAUAUGGCACAGAACACCAAUUGCGAAGGCAGCUCACUAAGGCGAUACUGACGCUGAGGCACGAAAGCGUGGGGAUCGAACAGGAUUAGAAACCCUAGUAGUCC
rnacentral:rRNA from 1 species